CUCCCCUGCCUCUUUGCCUCCCGGACUGAGAAUCUGCUCUUUAAAGUUGAUCUGAAGGGGAAAGCAGAGACGAGCUUGUGCAUAGUUUGGAGGAAUGUGAAGAACUGCAGCAUUUUCUUGCAAUGGACCUUCUGAUUCCAGGAGACGGUGCUGUGGCCCAUGUGGGGUUUUGAGGCAAAUCACAUGGAUUGCAUUGGGUUCUGAUCAUGGUACCUGAAACAGGCGAAUUCUUAAGAUCCAGAUACUUUUCUGCAGAAGGUCCUAUUUGAACGUUGGUCAUUAUUAAACCACUUGUCCUUCGACUUGCAUAGCCUGUUAGUUGCAAACCAUAUAUGCUUACCUUAGCAUGAGGAAGUUUGCAAAUAUUUGGGAUUUCAGUGCCGUAUGCAAGAACCACGUGCUGAGAUUUAAGCAGGGGGUUGAAGGUGCGCAUGAGACACAAGCAUUUGACUAGAUGAAAGGCCUACAGUUGGCACAUCAACAAUGGCAGCAUACAGCUCCACAGAUUUAAAACUACACAGGAAGAUAAUUGUGACCUGGCUGCGUACCUUCCUCUGCCAUGUCUGGGGGAAGGAGAGACCCACUGCGGUUAGCCUGCAUCGGUAGGGGAAAGCUACAGGUAGUCAUCUUUCCCUGUCUGUUCUGUGAAAUACAAAGCCAAAGUCCUAACCGGUGGUAGCUAAUACUUGCAAAGAAACGUAAGUGUACACCUCUGCUAAUGCUGUACAUGCAGCUUUGGAAAAGAUUUUCAUGAAGAUGUGAAGCUGCUAAACCAAGGAAGGGGUGGAUUAACACUGGGAAGAGACCGAUGUAGUUGUAACUAUAUAUGCUGUAUACAACAUUUUUAUUGGGUUUUGAAGGGCCAAAGCAUCGAGAUAAUCCUUUAUCUAGGCCUUUGCAGCUAAUGAUGCAAGUGGCUUCUGGUAUGCAGCUUCUUACAGGAUGCUCUUGACAGAUGCCAUUAAUUCUGCGACUGCAACCCAGGCCUUGGGUGCUCCUGAAAUUUUCCUUGGUCGGGGUAUAUCUUCUCACCUUCUCCUUGUAUCACUCCCAGGGGAUAGUGACCUCCCUUUGAAGAUACUGUCCUCCUGCUCAAAAUCCUGCAUGGAACCAAGAAAGUAGCUGUUUAAAUGAAGCCAUGAAAUGUCUGAAGAAAUGCCCAUCUCUGUAAUAGUCAGCUGCAUCUGUGCUCUGCGAUAACAUUGCUGUUCAAACGGUGGGGUGGAAUGGAGCAUGUAGAUGUCUCUGGAGUACCACAUGGUACAGAAAGUUCAUUUGAAAUGAGUGCUGUGCUGGACUAUGUAAACUCCAUAACUACUUGGAUGUCAGUUGGAGGAAAAAUCAUGUCAGGUCAUCACUGGAAACUGCUGGCACAGCUCUGCUUUUCAGUAACUUUUAGUUCUCUAACCUAGUUUCUCUAGUUUCUCAUUUUAUUAGAAAACAGUAAGAGACAUUAAGUAACUCCUCAUCUACCUUAUAUCCUUGCAUAAAAGGACAUGCACCAUGCUGGUGCUGUUAGAAGUGCUGUUGAACUGUACAGCUGUGGUACUGAGGGUUAUUCGAGAUGGAAUGUGUCUGGAGCAUGGCAUUUGUAAAACUCCAAAAGUUAUUACUAAAGUCCUGCAUAUGUUUUUGAUAUUUGUAAUGAUAUGCCUACACAGUAUUAAUACCAGGUUAGGCUUGUGGGGGUUUUUGUGGAUUUUGUUGUUUGGGUUUUUUUGUUUUGUUUUUUUUUUGUAAGUAGGUUUUGUUCUUUAACUGUCAAGUUUUGUCUCACAAAGCUCCACUUAUUUAAAUGAUGGCCAGACAUGAUGGGUCUUAUGCUAUCAUCAUGACCAGCCGUUCAGCUGAGGUCAGAAGCUAUGAACUUCUUCAGCUCUUUCAUCAGCUCAGUGAGACUGGUAAAAGCAGAUAUUCUCUCUCACAAUUUGCUAAUCACUGAAGAGCACAAAGACAACAAGGCAAUGCUGAACAAACCCAAAUAUCUCUUUGUGCUGCCUACAUGUUGUUGUAGUUGUACCCAUCUUUGUUCAUUUUGCUUGCUUCUGCUUUUUUGUCCUAGUAAAAACUCUUCUCCUUCCCUGUCCUCUUUCUAAAUCUACCCUGCUCUGCUCAGAACUUGCUUUCUAGAGCAUGAAUGAUCACCGUCGUGUCAGAUCUGGGACUUGGUAAGGAGUGGGGUUAGGGACUGAAGAAGGAAAAAGAGGUGAGUUUUGGUGUCAUCUCUGUCUCAUUCUGCAGACUGAAUUCUGCUACUUCUUAUACUGGUUUGUUGCAUUUGGGCAUUUGUAUUUUAAAAUAACUUAAACUUAGGAGUUUGUUUGUCAGGUAGCAGAAGAUGAAAAGCACCUGCUCCAAAAAAGCUAGCUGAAUUAUCCAGGUGGAGCAGAUGAUACUUAGUAAGAGUUCAAGGAUGUACUGAAAGAAUGGGGGAAAUGGUUACAAGAGUGGAAUGAUAUAUAUAUGUAGUAAUAAUAAAAAUAAUUUGUUAUACUUGCUAAGUCUGAAGCCUGUCUGUGGAAGGUUGCCCUUUUUUCUUGUACCCAGAAUUCUUCAGCUUGACUAUUGGUAUCGGUUAACUGCAGGCCAGAACUUCUCUACCUGCCAGAAGAAAUACUUUUAGUUGCAGGAAUCUGUAGAAUUUUCUUCUUUUUUUUUUCUUUUUUAAGAAGAUGACUUCUGCCAGCCUACCAGAACUGACUUAAAAUUGGUAAUUUUAGAUAAUACAUUAAUAUUUAGCUUUGUUUUCCAAAUCUAAAUUAUUGAGUGCAAUACUUUGAAUGUGAGCAUAGGUAGGAAUAGAAUUUUAUUUCUGGAAUCAAUGUUGUCCUUGCUGACAUGGCACAGAAUAUGGUACAUGACAUUAAGCCACAUCCUUAUAUAGGGAAAAUUGUUGAAGUUAGAGGUAGUGCAUUGGCCAUAGUACAAUUGGGCUCUGCUUAACUACUCUAGAGCAACAAGUUGAUGCUGCUGGGGAAAGGGAGAUUGGGGUGAACAUUCAUCCACUGUUCUCACCCUUGCUUGAGCUGGUGAGAGGCCUACUAUGAAUAUCCUGAUUUGGUAUUUAAGGUAAUUGAAUUGAAUCUGGCAUGAGACUCUAAGCAACAGUUAUUGGAAGCAAUAUUCACUUUUGAAUACAAUGUGUAAUAAAUUUUUUAAAUGUUUGCUGAACAUGUUUUUUCUGUAAUAAACUGCUAUGGCAUUUGAA